CUUGAUUAGGUCCUGGUCAGUGGUGCCUGGAGGAAGGCCUCGAAUGUACAGCUAGUACAUCAUUCCUGGCUGGAACAUACGUGCGUGAUAUUGUGUCCUUCUCAGGGUAUCAUAUCCACAGGAGUUAUAAGAUCAUUUUUCUCCGCUUCAAGAGCACUGACUUGGACAGCUGGAAUUGUGGUGACAAGGAACGUACGCUAAUACUUUUUCAUUUAACCAGAACAAGGGUGAAGUGGCACGCACAAACAUGGAGAGCCAAAGAUGUGCAUCCAGAAUCAGAGGAAGACCAGAGCAGGGCAGCUUACACACUGUAGCUAUUUCCACACAAAACCACCAGCUGUGAGAAAAGCCUGGCCUAUUCCCGGAAAAGUAAUACUUCCACUUAUGUUUCAAUUGUUACUGAUACACACAAAACUGAAACUAAAACACAAGUUUACUUUUUUUGUGGAACAAAAGCGGUAAAACCUAUCUGGGCAGAGAUUAGCUUCCCAUUGUAGGUAGCAUCCUAAAAAUAAAACGCAUUGCCAGUUUUUAAUAUGAUUGCAUCUUUUAGUG